GCCAGGCACAGUGGUGUAUGCCUGUAAUCCCAGCGGCUCGGAGGCUGAUACAGGAGAAUCCUGAGUUCAAACCCAGCCUCAGCAAUGGAAAGGCGCUAAGCAACUCAGUGAGAACCUGUCUCUA
rnacentral:sRNA from 1 species